rnacentral:rRNA from 1 species
GACGAACGCUGGCGGCGUGCUUAACACAUGCAAGUCGAACGCUGAAGACCUGGCUUUUGUUGGGUUGGAUGAGUGGCGAACGGGUGAGUAACACGUGAGUAACCUGCCCUCUUCUUUGGGAUAACGCCCGGAAACGGGUGCUAAUACUGGAUAUUCACUGAUCUUCGCAUGGGGGUUGGUGGAAAGGUUUGUUCUGGUGGGGGAUGGGCUCGCGGCCUAUCAGCUUGUUGGUGGGGUGAUGGCCUACCAAGGCUUUGACGGGUAGCCGGCCUGAGAGGGUGACCGGUCACAUUGGGACUGAGAUACGGCUCAGACUCCUACGGGAGGCAGCAGUGGGGAAUAUAGCACAAUGGGCGAAAGCCUGAUGCAGCGACGCCGCGUGAGGGAUGGAGGCCUUCGGGUUGGAAACCUCUUUCGCUCAUGGUCAAGCCGCAACUGUGGGUUGUGGUGAGGGUAGUGGGUAAAGAAGCGCCGGCUAACUACGUG